rnacentral:rRNA from 1 species
AACGAACGCUGGCGGCAGGCCUAACACAUGCAAGUCGAACGAACUCUUCGGAGUGAGUGGCGCACGGGUGCGGAACGCGUGGGAAUAUACCCCAGGGUGCGGAACAACGUCUGGAAACGGACGCUAAUACCGCAUAAUGACUUCGGUCCAAAGAUUUAUCGCCCAGGGAUUAGCCCGCGUCUGAUUAGAUUGUUGGUGAGGUAACGGCUCACCAAGUCUACGAUCAGUAGCUGGUCUGAGAGGAUGAUCAGCCACACUGGAACUGAGACACGGUCCAG